UACGUAGGGUGCGAGCGUUGUCCGGAAUUAUUGGGUUUAAAGGGUCCGUAGGCGGAUCUGUAAGUCAGUGGUGAAAUCUCACAGCUUAACUGUGAAACUGCCAUUGAUACUGCAGGUCUUGAGUGUUAUUGAAGUAGCUGGAAUAAGUAGUGUAGCGGUGAAAUGCAUAGAUAUUACUUAGAACACCAAUUGCGAAGGCAGGUUACUAAGCAACAACUGACGCUGAUGGACGAAAGCGUGGGGAGCGAACAGG
rnacentral:rRNA from 1 species